CUUGCAUCAUGAUUUACAUUUGAGUGAGUGGCGAACUGGUGAGUAACACGUGGGAAACCUGCCCAGAAGCGGGGGAUAACACCUGGAAACAGAUGCUAAUACCGCAUAACAACUUGGACCGCAUGGUCCGAGUUUGAAAGAUGGCUUCGGCUAUCACUUUUGGAUGGUCCCGCGGCGUAUUAGCUAGAUGGUGGGGUAACGGCUCACCAUGGCAAUGAUACGUAGCCGACCUGAGAGGGUAAUCGGCCACAUUGGGACUGAGACACGGCCCAAACUCCUACGGGAGGCAGCAGUAGGGAAUCUUCCACAAUGGACGAAAGUCUGAUGGAGCAACGCCGCGUGAGUGAAGAAGGGUUUCGGCUCGUAAAACUCUGUUGUUAAAGAAGAACAUAUCUGAGAGUAACUGUUCAGGUAUUGACGGUAUUUAACCAGAAAGCCACGGCUAACUACGUGCCAGCAGCCGCGGUAAUACGUAGGUGGCAAGCGUUGUCCGGAUUUAUUGGGCGUAAAGCGAGCGCAGGCGGUUUUUUAAGUCUGAUGUGAAAGCCUUCGGCUCAACCGAAGAAGUGCAUCGGAAACUGGGAAACUUGAGUGCAGAAGAGGACAGUGGAACUCCAUGUGUAGCGGUGAAAUGCGUAGAUAUAUGGAAGAA
rnacentral:rRNA from 2 species